rnacentral:rRNA from 1 species
UGCGUAGGUGGUCCGUUAAGUUUGUUGUGAAAUCCCCGGGCUCAACCCGGGAAUUGCUUCGAAUACUGGCGGACUUGAGUCCUGUAGGGGUCACUGGAACAGACGGUGGAGCGGUGAAAUGCGUAGAUAUCGUCUGGAACGCCUGUGGUGAAGACGGGUGACUGGGCAGGUUCUGACACUGAGGCACGAAAGCGUGGGGAGCGAACGGGAUUAGAUACCCCGGUAGUCCACGCCCUAAACGAUGCAGACUAGAUUGCAGCGGGUUUCACCCCGUUGCGGUCGGAGAAAAAUUGAUAAGUCUGCCACCUGGGAAGUACGGUCGCAAGGCUAAAA